UGACCUCAGAUCAGACGUGGCGACCCACCAAAUUUAAGCAUAUUGCUAACGGAGGAAAAUAAACUAACCAGGAUUCCCUCAGUAACAGCAAGUGAAGAGGGAAGAGCCCAGUGCCAAAUUCCCACCCAGGUAAUAGGUGUAGGGAAAUGUGGCGUACUGAAGUCCAUUUCCCCAGUGCUGCCCAGGGGCCCCAAGUCCUUGUGAUCGAGGCUCAGCCUGCGGUUGGUGUUAGGCUGGUGGCGGCCCCCAGCAUAUCAGGAUCAGGUCUUCCUGGAGUCGGGUUGUUUGUGAAUGCAGCCCAAAGUGGGUGGUAAACUCCAUCUAAGGCUAAACACUGGCACAAGACCGAUAGCGGACAGGUACCAUAAGGGAAAGUUGUAAAGAACUUUGAAGAGAGAGUUCAAGAGGGCGUGAAACCAUUCAAAGGUAAAUGGGUGGGGUCUGCGUGGUCCACCCAGAGGAUUCAUCCCAGUGGUUGCACCAGCCGCCUGGGCGAGGCGGAUCCCCUCCCCCUCCAGGGGGGUGGGGACCAUCCUUGGGCGUGCCGACCACUAUCGUGCGCACUUUCUUCACAAUUGUGUGCCACGUCCAGCUCUGGGCUGGCUAGGAAGGCCGCCCAGAAGGUGGCUCCCCUCCCAGGAUGGGAGAGUUACAGCCCAUGGCAACAGCCCUCGCCAUGCCCUGGGGUCAUGGGAGAUGACUGCCGCUGCCCCCACCCUCACGGUGUGGGGUGCCCAGCUCCUGAUGGGACUGUUGACUGGGCUGGACUGCCCUCAGUGCAGCCCGAUGUGUCCUGUCACCAGGCCGAUGGACUCAUCUUGGGUGCCCAGGAGUUCACGAUGAUGUCGGUGACCCACCCAUUCCAUCUUGAAACAUUAAUUAAGGAGUCUAAAAGGUGCGUGAGUCUGAGGGUGGGCAGGAGACCCCACAGCACAAUGAAACUGAGGGCUGGCACAUGCCGGCUGAGGAGGAAUUCCCCCACCCCACGUGAGGGGUGCACCGCUGGACCAUCUCACCCAUCUCGUUGGGGAGGUGGAGCGUGAGCGCACCUGGUGGGACCCAAAAGACAGUGAACUAUGCCUGGGCAGAGCAAAGCCAGUGGAAACUCUGGUGGAGGUCCAUAGCGGUCCUGAUGUGCAAAUCAGUCAUUCGACCUGGGUAUAGGGGCAAAAGACUAAUUGAACCAUCUAGUAGCUGGUUCCCUCUGAAGUUUCCCUCAGGAUAGCUGGCACUCGGCGGAUGCAGUUUUAUCUGGUAAAGUGAAUGAUUAGAGGUCUUGGGGGUGAAAAGAUCUCAACCUAUUCUCAAACUUUAAAUGGGUAAGAAGCCUGACUUGUUGGCUUGGAGCCAGGCAUGGAAUGCGAGUGCCCAGUGGGCCGCUUUUGGUAAGCAGAACUGGUGCUGCAGGAUGAACUGAAUGCCGGGUUAAGGUGCCUGAUUCCAGUGCUCAUCAGACCCCAGAAAGGUGUUGGUUGAUAUAGACAGCAGGAUGGUGGCCAUGUAAAUCAGAAUCCACUAAGGCAUGUGCAACAACUCACCGGCCGAAUCAACUAGCUCUGAAAAUGGAUGGCACUGUAGUGUCAGGCCCAUACCCGGCCAUUGCCAGUGCUGGGAGCCGAGAGGUCUAUGCCACAAUGAGUAGGAAGGCCCCUGUGGUGGCACUGAAGUCCAGGACAAGGGCCCGGGUGGAGCCACCACUGGUGCAGAUCUUGGUGGUAGUAUCAAAUAUUCAAACGAAAGCUUUGAAGGCCAAAGUGGAGAAGGGUUCCAUGUGAACAGCAGUUGAACAUGGGUCAGUUAGUCGGUCCUGAGAGAUAGGUGAGUGCCAUUCUGCAGGGAUGGGCAGUGGCCUCCAUCACCCUUGGCUGAUCAAAAGGGAGUCGGGUUCAGAUCCAUGAAUAUGGAGUGUCGGAGAUGGGCAGCUCAUGGUAUCCAGUGCGGUGAUGCAAACGAUACUGGAAAAGCUGGCGGGGGCCCCUUGGAGAGUUCUCUUUUCUUUGUAAAGGGCAGGAUGCCCUGGAAUAGGUUUGACUCGAGAGAGGGCACCAUGCACUGGAAAUGUUGCGGUUCUGGUUGUGUCAGAUGAGCUCUUGCCGACCCUUGAAAAACUGGGGGAGAGGGUGUAAGUCUCACACUGGGCUGUACCCAUAUCCACAGCAGGUCUCCAAGGUGAACAGCCCCUGGCAUGUUAGAACAAUGUAGGUAAUGAAGUUGGCAAGCCAGAUCAGUAACUUCAGGAUAAGGAUUGGCUUUAAGGGCUGGGUCAGUCAGGCUCGGGCAUGAAGCGGUGCUGGGUGUACACUGCGGCUGGAUGAGGCAUUGCCCCCACCUCACCACUCCCCCCUCCUGGGGGGCUGGGGGGAUGGCAGCAGCAACUCUGGAUAUGCGGUAGGCCUUCACUGUGGAUCACGCCAGCUGUGGUGGGCGCCGGUCCCGACCGGCAUCCCACAUCAUCCACCAGCUAGCAGCUGACUUAGAACUGGUGCAGACUGGGGGAAUCUGACUAUUUAAUUAAAACAAAGCAUCACAAAGGCAUGAGAUGGGUAUUGACGUGAUGUGAUUUCUGCCCAAGCUCUGAAUGUCAAAGUGAAGAAAUUCAAUGAAUCACAGGUACAUGGCAGGAGUAACUAUGACUCUCUUAAGGUAGCCAAAUGCCUCAUCAUCUAAUUAGUGAUGUGCAUGAAUGGAUGAAUGAGAUUCCCACUGUCCCUACCUAUUCUCUAGCGAAACCACAGCCAAGGGAAUGGGCAUGGCAGAAUCAGUGGGGAAAGAAGGCCCUGUUGAGCUUGACUCUAGUCUGGCACUGUGAAGAGACAUGAGAGGUGUAGAAUAAGUGGGAGGCCUUGGCCACUGGUGAAAUACCACUACUCUUAUAAUUUUUUCACUUACCCGGUGAGGCAGGGGGUAAGCUCCAGGGGCUCUCGCUUCUGGCUCCAAGUGCCCGGGUGUCUGGCCGUGACCCGCUCCAGGGACAGUGUCAGGUGGGGAGUUUAACUGGGGUGGUACACCUGUCAAAGAGUAAUGCAGGUGUUCUAAGUUGAGCUCAGGGAGGACAGAAACCUCCCAUGGAGCAGAAGGACAAAAGCUCGCUUGCUCUUGAUUUUCAGUAUGAAUACUGACCAUGAAAGUGGGGCCUCACAAUGCUUCUGGCUUUUUGGGUUUUAAGCAGGAUGUGUCAGAAAAGUUACCACAGGGAUAACUGGCUUGUGGUGGUCAAGCGUUCAUAGUGAUGUCACUUUUUGAUCCUUCGAUAUCGGCUCUUCCUGUCAUUGUGAAGCAGAAAUCACCAAGCAUUGAAUUGUUCACCCAUUAAUAGGGAACGUGAGCUGGGUUUAGACCUUCGUGAGACAGGUAAGUUUUACUCUACUGAUGAUGUGUUGUUGCGAUAGUAAUCCUGCUCAAUAUGAGAGGAAUCACAGGUUCAGAAAUUUGAUAUAUCUGCUUGACUAAGGAACCAAUGGUGUUAAGUUACCAUCUGUGGGAUUAUGACUGAACACCUCUAAGUCAGAAUCCCGCCUAAACGUAACAAUACCACAGCACUGUGGAUCUCCGGUUGGCCAGGGAUAGCCGGCUGCAAGGUUGGCGAUGAGCGCUGCUCAUCACUGAGUCAGAGCACGGACAAAAGGGGGCCGCCUCUCUCCAGCAGUGCAACACAUGUUUGUGGGGAACCGGGUGCUAAAUCAUUCGCAGACAACCUGAUUCUGGGUCAGUGUUUCAUGCAUAGCAGAGCAGCACAAAGCUGAGAUCUAUUAAAUGUCAGGCCUUCAGCCAAGCUUUUGU